GGGCGAUUGGCGCAGUGGUAGCGCGCUUCGUUCACACCGAAGAGGCCACUGGUUCGAACCCAGUAUCGCCCA
rnacentral:tRNA from 1 species